UACGAAGGGGGCUAGCGUUGUUCGGAAUUACUGGGCGUAAAGCGCACGCAGGUGUAUUUAUAAGUCAGGGGUGAAAUCCCGGGGCUCAACCUCGGAAUUGCCUUUGAUACUGUCUAUCUUGAGUCCGGGAGAGGUGAGUGGAAUUCCUAGUGUAGAGGUGAAAUUCGUAGAUAUUAGGAAGAACACCAGAGGCGAAGGCGGCUCACUGGCACGGUACUGACGCUCAUGUGCGAAAGCGUGGUGAGCAAACAGG
rnacentral:rRNA from 1 species